GCCGACGAUUCAGUGCUUCACUCGUAAUGAAGGGGUCCGCGGUUCGAGUCCGCGCGUCGGCU
rnacentral:tRNA from 1 species